CUGCGGAAGGAUCAUUACUGAGUGAGGGCCCUCUGGGUCCAACCUCCCACCCGUGUUUAUUGUACCUUGUUGCUUCGGUGCGCCCGCCUCACGGCCGCCGGGGGGCUUCUGCCCCCGGGUCCGCGCGCACCGGAGACACUAUUGAACUCUGUCUGAAGAUUGCAGUCUGAGCAUAAACUAAAUAAGUUAAAACUUUCAACAACGGAUCUCUUGGUUCCGGCAUCGAUGAAGAACGCAGCGAAAUGCGAUAACUAAUGUGAAUUGCAGAAUUCAGUGAAUCAUCGAGUCUUUGAACGCACAUUGCGCCCCCUGGUAUUCCGGGGGGCAUGCCUGUCCGAGCGUCAUUGCUGCCCUCAAGCACGGCUUGUGUGUUGGGCUCCGUCCCCCCGGGGACGGGUCCGAAAGGCAGCGGCGGCACCGAGUCCGGUCCUCGAGCGUAUGGGGCUUUGUCACCCGCUCUGUAGGCCCGGCCGGCGCCAGCCGACAACCAAUCAUCCUUUUUUCAGGUUGACCUCGGAUCAGGUAGGGAUACCCGCUGAACUUAAGCAUAUCAAUAAGCGGAGGAAAAGAAACCAACAGGGAUUACCUCAGUAACGGCGAGUGAAGCGGUAAGAGCUCAAAUUUGAAAGCUGGCUCCUUCGGGGUCCGCAUUGUAAUUUGCAGAGGAUGUUUCGGGAGCAGCCCCCAUCUAA
rnacentral:rRNA from 1 species